rnacentral:rRNA from 7 species
AACUUUUAACAACGGAUCUCUUGGUUCUCGCAUCGAUGAAGAACGUAGCAAAGUGCGAUAACUAGUGUGAAUUGCAUAUUCAGUGAAUCAUCGAGUCUUUGAACGCAUCUUGCACUCAUUGGUAUUCCAAUGAGUACGCCUGUUUCAGUA